CGACCGGCGCACGGGUGAGUAACACGUAUCCAACCUGCCGUCUACUCUUGGACAGCCUUCUGAAAGGAAGAUUAAUACAAGAUGGCAUCAUGAGUCCGCAUGUUCACAUGAUUAAAGGUAUUCCGGUAGACGAUGGGGAUGCGUUCCAUUAGGCAGUCGGUGGGGUAACGGCCCACCAAACCUUCGAUGGAUAGGGGUUCUGAGAGGAAGGUCCCCCACAUUGGAACUGAGACACGGUCCAAACUCCUACGGGAGGCAGCAUG
rnacentral:rRNA from 1 species